rnacentral:lncRNA from 1 species
AGAGUCAGUCCAUAAGCGUCAAUGUCCACCCACUCAGCGACUCACUUACCCAGCGACUCACUUGCUGUAGCUUUAUCUUCCCUUCCACAGGUUCCAUAACCUUCCCAAACUUUGCCGGGAGCUGAGGACUGAGUGUUCGAACUCGUGAGCCUGAGCCGAGUGGCAUUUCAUUCAAAGCACAGCGGAAGGAAUGAAGGGGAAGGCUCAGAAAUGAAUCCUCCGGCAGACUCCGAUGACAGGGACAGUCUGUAGGGCCAGGCGGGAACCUAUUGGGUGCAUCGCAGCCCCGUUCCUAUGAAGACACAGCUGAGGCUCUUUGGCACUUUGUUCCUUCCUGUGAUGACACGUUCUUGGACGGUGAAGCCUCAGUCACGAUCACUUCCUGCAGUGUGCAUCGGACACUUCGGUAAUGCAAGCCACAGUGAACUCUGCGUGACCCUGCAGUCAUUUCCUCUUAGACCUGAGUGGAAGGCGUUUCUUUCAGUGGCUUAGGAGGACUGCUGUGGCUGAUACUGAAGACACAGUGCUGUGAUUGGUGCAAAUCCAAACCCUCAUUUGCAUACAAUGUUUUCUGUCAUUGGUGCAGACUAACCAUUUCUGGCUAUGUAAACACAUCAUUUGGCUCACUUAAGAUGGAUACCAACUCCUCCUAACCAUCCCCCAAUCCCAUGGUGCCUCUCCCAGUUUGUGACAUGAAGGCCAGUGAGAACUCUGGGAUGGUCUUUUCCUGCCUACUUUUAGUUGUGUGACUGAUCUGAUAAUGAAGAAUGGUGCAGUGGCACCAGCAGAGUGACAGUGAUGGCAAACACAGUGUAACCAUAGCCUAGGUGAUAGCUGAGUAGCCUAGGUGGCAAGGCCUGGAUGAUUGACAAGUAAAGAAGCACCAGAGAAACCAUUGUUGGAGAGUGACUGGGGUUGGACCAAGGAUGGUGGCAGAAAUAGAGAAGAUGAAGAGCUGAGGCUGGAGGAAGAUAGAAGGCUCUAGAGAGCCCAAGAAGAGAAUGUGCAGGCCUGGGUUGCUUCAAGAUCCCUGUGUGCUGCCAAGCUUUUAGGGGCAAGGAUCUUGGGCUUCCCAGGCUUGGAGGAUUUCAUAAUAGUUUGAUGUCAGGUGCUGGGGAAUCCUGAUGUGUGGGUGGGCUUGGAAGAUGCAAUACCAACUGAUGCCAAGGACAAAGGAAUCUUGACUUCCUGCACCUACACAAGAGCGGGAACACUUGUUUAGUGAUAGUUAACGGUCUUGUUAUCCCAAGCCUACAACAAGAACUUUAACACUAGAGGCCGUCACCCAUUCCUGAUCCUGACUGCCUACUGUUGCCCACUGUGGUUAAAUACCAGGAAUGUAAAAGUUUUGCCAACAUCAGCACUUGACGGUCUUCUCCUUGCUAACCCACAGUUUCUAUCUAAAUAGAACAAAAGGACCCUUGCCACCUGAUUAUGAAUGAGAAUAUUCUCUCUCUGCACUGUGUUUCCAGCACUAUAGUCACUGGUAGCACAUGGUUGUUGAGCACUAGAAAUGAACCACAAGUUAAUUUUAUCUCAUCUGAGUGAGUUAAAAUUCAUAGAACAUGAUUAUUGUAUUAGGUGGUGUGGUUUGACAUUGGAACUGUACAUAACCCAAAUGAAGAAAUGAAAGCAAUUCCUUGAAUUGCUUGCUGAUAGAUUGGAGCCAGAAGAAGAAAAGACAGUUAAUUUGAAGAUAGCUCAAUAUAAAUUAUACACCAAGAGGAAUAGAGAAAAGAUAAUGAAAAUUGAACACAGCCUCCUAAGUCAGCAGGAUAAAAUCAAGCCAAGGCAGAGAACAUCUUGGAGGGUUCUAGAUGGAGAAGAGAGGGAUAGACAUAGAGAGAUCCACAUGUGGUUCCAUCACAAUCAAAGAGGCAAAGGUCCAAAAAAUAGAGAGAAACUUCAUCAGUAUUCAGAGUUCCCAUCUGGGAAGAAGGGGGCUGGAAGACAUUGAAACAAAGUUUCAUGAAGUAUUGAAAAGAAAAGUCAGUGUCUGCCACCCAGAAUUCUAUACCCAGUUAAACUAUUCCUCAAAAAAUAAAUGGAGAGGCUGGAGAGAUGCCUUAGCUCGUAAGAGUGUUUGCUGUUCUUGCAGAGUGCAUUUGGAUCCCAGUAGCCACACUGGGUCCCUCACAGCUGCCUAUAACUCCAGCUCUGUCUUUUGGACUCUGAGAAAUUGCACUUAGAUGCACAUACCCAGACACAGACACAUACAUCAGAUAACUGAAAGAUAUUUAAGAAUAUUUAAAAGCAAGUAACUACAAAAUAUUGAUCUUCUUGUGAUGUUAUAACAAAAUACAAUAGAUUGUGUAGGUCAAGAAACAGGUUUAUUUUUCAUUGAUCUGGAAUCUGGAAGUCUAAGGUCAGGGUGCUGGAAUGGUUGUGUUCUAGUGAGGGCUUGUUCCCUGGCUUGUGGGUGGGCUGCCUUUUCAAUUCUCCUUCUCUAGACUUUUCCUUCUUUUGUGCUUUGUGCUCAUGUGUAGGUGUGGUGGGGAGAGAGUCCCUCUUCUGUAGCCAUACCUCUUGUUAGAUUAGGAUCUUUCUUAACCUUCAUUCCCUCUUCAAAGCCCUGUGUCCAAGUUCAGUCACAUGACAUCUGGGUUUAGGGUUUAAGCUCUGAUGGCUUAUGGCACAUCCAUAUUAGGAACUAAAUAUCAGUAAGGCCUUUUAUUAGUGAGGGGUUCUGUUGUGUUAUUUUUGUUUGUUUGUUUUUACUAUGACAAGAGAGCUCACAAAAAGCAUCUUAAAGGAGGAAGGGUUUAUUUUGACUUGCAGAUCCUUUGGAUACAGUCCAUCACAGUGGGGGAGGGGGGAAGCAUGUGACAGCAGCAUGAUGUGGCUGUGGUCACAUGCAUCCCCAGUUCAGAAGCAGAGAGAGUGAAGGAAGUGGGGCUGGACUAGCUCCCGCCCCACUGGGCAAGGCCCAUGGCCUCCCGUGAGGCUCUGCACAACCUUCUAAAACAGCUGCUCUGGGACCAAGAGUUCAAACCCAAGGACCUACAGAGGGCAUUUCAUAAGCUACAACAGCUCCUGUAAAUAAACCUUUGAAUGCACUUUGAGAG